rnacentral:rRNA from 1 species
AGUGAACGCUGGCGGUAGGCCUAACACAUGCAAGUCGAACGGCAACACAGUAAGAGCUUGCUCUUACGGGUGGCGAGUGGCGGACGGGUGAGGAAUACAUCGGAAUCUACUAUUUCGUGGGGGAUAACGUAGGGAAACUUACGCUACUACCGCAUACGACCUACGGGUGAAAGCAGGGGAUCUUCGGACCUUGCGCGACUGAAUGAGACGAUGUCGGAUUAGCUAGUUGGCGGGGUAAAGGCACACCAAGGCGACGAUCCGUAGCUGGCCUGAGAGGAUGAUCAGCCACACUGGAACUGAGACACGGUCCAGACUCCUACGGGAGGCAGCAGUGGGGAAUAUUGGACAAUGGGCGCAAGCCUGAUCCAGCCAUACCGCGUGGGUGAAGAAGGCCUUCGGGUUGUAAAGCCCUUUUGUUGGGAAAGAAAAGCAGCAGGUUAAUCCCCCGCUGUUCUGACGGUACCCAAAGAAUAAGCACCGGCUAACUUCGUG